UAAGGUCGCUUUCCAUUGAAGAAAAGGUGU
rnacentral:piRNA from 1 species